rnacentral:rRNA from 1 species
AGAGUGGCGAACGGGUGAGUAAUGCGUGACCGACCUGCCCCAUACACCGGAAUAGCUCCUGGAAACGGGUGGUAAUGCCGGAUGUUCCACAUGAUCGCAUGUGAUUGUGGGAAAGAUUCUAUCGGCGUGGGAUGGGGUCGCGUCCUAUCAGCUUGUUGGUGAGGUAACGGCUCACCAAGGCUUCGACGGGUAGCCGGCCUGAGAGGGCGACCGGCCACAUUGGGACUGAGAUACGGCCCAGACUCCUACGGGAGGCAGCAGUGGGGAAUAUUGCACAAUGGGCGCAAGCCUGAUGCAGCGACGCCGCGUGAGGGAUGGAGGCCUUCGGGUUGUAAACCUCUUUUGUUUGGGAGCAAGCCCUUCGGGUGAGUGUACCUUUCGAAUAAGCGCCGGCUAACUACGUGCCAGCAGCCGCGGUAAUACGUAGGGCGCAAGCGUUAUCCGGAUUUAUUGGGCGUAAAGGGCUCGUAGGCGGUUCGUCGCGUCCGGUGUGAAAGUCCAUCGCUUAACGGUGGAUCCGCGCCGGGUACGGGCGGGCUUGAGUGCGGUAGGGGAGACUGGAAUUCCCGGUGUAACGGUGGAAUGUGUAGAUAUCGGGAAGAACACCAAUGGCGAAGGCAGGUCUCUGGGCCGUCACUGACGCUGAGGAGCGAAAGCGUGGGGAGCGAACAGGAUUAGAUACCCUGGUAGUCCACGCCGUAAACGGUGGAUGCUGGAUGUGGGGCCCGUUCCACGGUCUCCGUGUCGGAGCUAACGCGUUAAGCAUCCCGCCUGGGGAGUACGGCCGCAAGGCUAAAAC